rnacentral:rRNA from 1 species
UGCGGAAUCGAUAUCUUAAAAGUAGACCUGUGAACACGUGUUUAACAUGAACGGUGCCUUGCCCGGUGCUCGCACUAGUGGGGCUAACGAAUCCCGGCGCGGCAAGCGCCAAGGAAAACAAAAAUAGAAUCGUUGCCCCUUUGGCUCCCGUCCGCGGUGUGGCCAUGGGGAUGCAGCGUAUCUUGAAAGUCUAAACGACUCUCGGCAACGGAUAUCUCGGCUCUCGCAUCGAUGAAGAACGUAGCGAAAUGCGAUACUUGGUGUGAAUUGCAGAAUCCCGUGAACCAUCGAGUCUUUGAACGCAAGUUGCGCCCGACGCCUUCGGGCUGAGGGCACGCCUGCCUGGGCGUCACGCAUCGCGUCGUCCCCUCCCAUUCCCUCACGGGUUUGGUUAUGGGACGGAUAAUGGCUUCCCGUUAGCUCGGUUAGCCCAAAAAGGAUCCCUCAUCGACGGAUGUCACAACCAGUGGUGGUUGAAAGAUCAUUGGUGCUGUUGUGCUUCACCCUGUCGCUUGCUAGGGCAUCAUCAUAAACUAACGGCGUGUAAUGCGCCUUCGACCGCGACCCCAGGUCAGACGGGACUACCCGCUGAG